CGGGGGGUCGUGUGCCUGCGGU
rnacentral:miRNA from 1 species